UACGAAGGGGGCUAGCGUUGCUCGGAAUCACUGGGCUUAAAGCGUGCGUAGGCGGAUGUGCAGGCGUCGUAUGAAAGCCCUCGGCUCAACCGGGGAAUUGCACGGCGAACCGCACGUCUCGAGACAAGUAGGGGCGGUCGGAACGAUAGGUGGAGUGGUGAAAUGCGUUGAUAUCUAUCGGAACGCCAAAGGUGAAGACAGACCGCUGGGCUUGUUCUGACGCCGAGGCACGAAAGCGUGGGGAGCAAGCGGG
rnacentral:rRNA from 1 species